UACGAAGGGUGCAAGCGUUACUCGGAAUUACUGGGCGUAAAGCGUGCGUAGGUGGUGAGUUAAGUCUGUCGUGAAAGCCCCGGGCUCAACCUGGGAAUGGCGAUGGAUACUGGCUCGCUAGAGUGCGGUAGAGGAGAGUGGAAUUCCCCGGUGUAGCAGUGAAAUGCGUAGAGAUCGGGGAGGAACAUCAGUUGCGAAGGCGGCUCUCUGGACCAGCACUGACACUGAGGCACAAAAAGCGUGGGGGAGCAAACAGG
rnacentral:rRNA from 1 species